rnacentral:lncRNA from 1 species
UCCAUAUUGUUGAUCGAGCAUCCUAUUUGAUUGUGACUCUUGGUUCGGGCGCUUAUUAUUAUUCCCGUUCUUCGUCCUUGCCAUGAUCCUGAAACAAUUACUUCAAAUAUUAUAACAAACUCCAAAUUCAAACAUAAAAAUACAUUGUCAUGAAAUAAACAAUUUAGCAUAUUGUACAAUCAAUAAAACACUACUAAAGGAUAAAAUAAGGGUAUAGAAAAAAAAUACAACCGCAUCAUGUAAAAGAAAAAUGAGAACGACGAUAUUUUAAACAUAUGAGUAAACAAUAAAGCUCCACUUAAGCAUAUCCUAGACGUCAUCUACAUGAUUUUCUUGUAAGUCUUCCACCAAACAGAGAGUUUAGAAAUUUUUUUACAUCCUGAAUAAAGCUCUUUUUCUGCAUCUUCUAUAAGUUUAUAAAAUUGUUCAGCUUCUUUACAAGGUUUUUCUGUCUCUUCUACUGGUGGCGUUCCUUCAAAAUCAUUAAAUUCCGCACGCAUCCCAAAUCUAUCAUGUAGCAUUUCUUGCAUGUUAUCAGAUACAUGUACGUCGUCACAAUCUUGUGGUAGAUGUGUUUGAUCAGUGAUCAACUCUCCAUGAAGUACCCAUUUACUGUAUCCAUUUAAGAAACCAUUCCAAAGAAGAUGUUCUACCACUACAUCCCGUGUUUUGCAAAUGGCAUUUUUACAUUUUUUGCAGGGGCACAAGAUCAUCCUGUCAUUAGAAUUUGAGAAGGCAAAAUCAAGAAAAUAGUGCAACCCUAUAUGAUAUUCUGUUUUUGACCUUGGAAAAUCCAUCCAUUUUUUGUCCAUACUAAUAUUUCAUUAAAAUAUAAACAAUUAUGAAAAAUACACGAAAAAAAUAUUAAAUUAAAAUAAAAUCUUCAAAGAGCUGCAAAGUCAUUUUAUGUACUGGAACAAAAAAAAUACUUGAAGUACCUAUUUUUUAAGUAUAUUUCAACAUAUCUCAUUAGAGAUAUACGACAACUUAAAACCAAAGAUUUUCAUGGCUAAUUAAAAAAAAAAAAAGUAUGAAGCAUAUAUAGAAUCAUACAGUAGCUACACAAAGUUGUCAAAAUGCCCAAUAUAAUGUUCAUAAAUAUUUAAGGUCAUUUCAUCAUCAGGAUAGGUGCAAUAUAUAUCUGAUACAAGAAACCUAAGAAAUCACAAAUUCAUUAUACACUACAAAAAAGAAGAAUCAGACUAACACUCGGAUUAAAAAAAAAAAAAAAAAAACUCUGUUUCUAAUUUUAUCGAGAACAAGACCCAAAGAAAAACAUUAAAACAAAACUUAAUCUUGAAUCAAAUUACUGCAAAUAAAUCGAAUUAAAUUGAAUAAAUUAUACUGAAGUUAUUGAAUUCAAUUCAUACCACAAAAUCAAUAAGAUUCUUUGACGAAAAACCCCUUAAAAUUCUUAAUAAUCAGCAAAAACCCCAACUUGCAAUUUUACACUGAACAUAUAAAAAAAACAAAGAUGGCAGAUUUAAAAAGAAAUUAGCAACAACAACUGAUUUUACCUCGACGGGGUGUGCAAACCGACGGGUUAUCUUCGAGUUCUUUUGCUGAUUGAGUGCGUCGAUAUUUCUCCAGGAAUUUGAGUUCGUAUGCAAAAUUCGUCUUCAAUUCUUUUUCUCCGUGUUCUAGGUAUGAAAAUUGCCAAAGAAUUUGCUUCUUUCUCGCGGGAGUCGUAAUCGAAGUUUUCAGAGAAUUUGGCACUUUGU